CUGAUGAGGUGGUUAGCAUAGUUCUUAAUAUAAGUUUUAAUAUACAGCUGAAAAUCUUGAGAGAAUAAAAGAAGAACAUCGAUUUUCCAUGGCAGCUGAGAAUAUUGUAGGAGAUCUUCUAGAAAGAUCAGGAUGACGUACCGUGAAAGCGGUAUUCCUUCGGGCAUCCUGUAAGGUGCUGCAUGGCUGUCGUCAGCUCGUGCCGUGAGGUGUCGGGUUAAGUCCCAUAACGAGCGAAACCCCUAUUGUUAGUUGCCAGCGAGUAAUGUCGGGGACUCUAACAAGACUGCCACCGUAAGGUGUGAGGAAGGUGGGGAUGACGUCAAGUCAGCACGGCCCUUAUGUCCGGGGCUACACACGUGUUACAAUGGUUGGUACAAUGGGCAGCUACACAGUGAUGUGAUGCUAAUCUCAAAAACCAAUCUCAGUUCGGAUUGGAGUCUGCAACUCGACUCCAUGAAGUUGGAUUCGCUAGUAAUCGUAUAUCAGCAAUGAUACGGUGAAUACGUUCCCGGGCCUUGUACACACCGCCCGUCAAGCCAUGGAAGCCGGGGGUACCUGAAGUUCGUAACCGCAAGGAGCGGCCUAAGGU
rnacentral:rRNA from 1 species